UGGGAUUGAACAAAGGUGAUGUUUGUCUGU
rnacentral:piRNA from 1 species